rnacentral:rRNA from 1 species
UACGUAGGGGGCAAGCGUUGUCCGGAAUUACUGGGCGUAAAGGGCGCGUAGGCGGCCUUCUAAGUCGAACGUGAAAUCCCCGGGCUCAACCCGGGAACUGCGUCCGAUACUGGAAGGCUUGAAUCCGGGAGAGGGAUGCGGAAUUCCAGGUGUAGCGGUGAAAUGCGUAGAUAUCUGGAGGAACACCGGUGGCGAAGGCGGCAUCCUGGACCGACACUGACGCUGAGGAGCGAAAGCCAGGGGAGCAAAGCGGGG